AAGAGCACGUUGCAAAAUAUCUUUUUAAUUUACAUGCACUUGAAGGCUGAAUUCAACUAUUCUCACGCUAUUCAAGGAUUACUUGAAUUUCAGUUCAGAUUCAGAUGUCUCAGGACUGUCUUUGACAAUAUCACAAGAACUUCAAACCCUACAGGGGAUCAGAUUCUGGAAGAUCUUUCCAAAAGAAGCUGUGGAGUCUACUGCAGAUACUCAAAAUCUUGAAGAGCUCCCUCUGCUUUAAACAGUGACAGUCCACAGUGAUACAAUGAAGACAGAGGAGUAAGAUUUAUCAACAGAGAGGAUCUCAGAAGAUUGGGAUUCACUUGAGGAAACACAUUUUGCUUCCAUCUAUAACAUGAGAGAUUUCCCACCUUACAUUUGCUCUCCAUUGUCCUUUGAGGUUGUGACUCACUGAAGCCGAUCUUUAAGUACAGGAUUUAUUCAGUGCAAGUGAUGGACUGAACUCUGUCAGAGGGCAAAAGAAAACUACCUGCAGGGAGCCAUGGCCAAAUGAGAUGGACCUUCACUGUGCUGUUUCUUCAGUACUCAGUGAUGGAAGUACACCUUGUUAUUGAUUAAGUCACCAAAAGGUAAUUCAAAAUUAAAUAAUUAAUAUUGAACAGUUAAUCUUCUAAAUGUUCCUGUUUCAUGCUUAGAAAACAUUCUUUGAUUAAAUUUCUAUAUUCAUAUUUAUUUUGCACUUUUAUGAAUUUUUAUUAAAUGUACAUGUGAGUAGAAGAUUACUCCGUGCAGUCUUUUAGGGGAUUUGAGUGGUACAGGAAUAAAUACAGUUUCAUUCUUUCAGGAAAAAAAAAACAAGGAUACAUUUCAUUGGUUUAAAAAAGAAUCGAAUGUGAUUGUUUUAAGGAAGGUAGCAAAGAACAUUUGGAAGAGAAAAGCUAAAGAUUGAUAUUUAAAUGGAGAUAUGUGAUUGAUAUGCAACAGUUGUUUUUCAUUAGAAAUACUGGGAAAUAAAAUGAUAGAUCCAGUUUCAUUUUUUAUCUACUAUCUCCUUCUGUUUAGAUACUGAAAAGUUAUUGUAUUGUACUGUACACACUAAGUAGACAUUUUUGAGGACAAAUCUAUUUGCUGACUAGCCAGAAAGAGUAUGUUCACCUAGAUAACAAUUAAAAAAAAAAAAAAGAAAAAAGAAAAAAAGAUAGAAAAGACAAACAUCUAAAGUAGAUAAUUUGUGAGGAGAAAGAUCACAACAGACAUUCUGUGAAUUAUUUGAUCCCAAACACAUCCAUAAACUUAUUAUGUAUAUGCAUAAUAUCUACAUUUUUAUCAAUAGGAAUUGCCAUAGAAUUAAUUUUGAGGGUCUAAGACAAGAGAACAGGAGAGAGGAAUGUAGAAACAUUCAAGAAACAGAAUAGAACGCUGGGAUUCAUGGAGGAAGGCAAGGGUUAGAGAACAUGAAGUAAAUUGAGAACUGAAGAGCAAAUUGUGGUACACAAUGAAGCACAGAUAUUUAGAAAAAGAAAAUUGUAACAGUAGAGUUCAAUUGUUCGAUAAUAGCUCAGAAAACAAGAUAGGCAAGCAGCUCACAAUAAACCAAAUGAGGAGGCAAUCUGUCUGUUAAGGGUCUGAGGCUUCAAUGCGACAGGAAAAGGAAGGAUGAUUAAGAGAUGAUAGGAAGACAUUUAAAAAAUUAUAUUAUAGGAGGAGCAAAGUUGGAAUGAACGUGAGUUACUGCACUGCAGUAUGGCAUCCCAAAGAUGAUGAAGUUUUAUGAACGAGAUCUUCACAGUCAAUCUUCCUGAUUAAAGCACUGUUCUGCUGAUUUCAGGAGAACUUACCUAUAAACAAGUGUUAAUUGUUUCUCAUCAUAUUCACAGAAU
ensembl:lncRNA